ACCUGAAGUGAUGAGACUGACACCUUAGGUGGGUGCUGUAGACUGUUCUGGUCUUCAUCACACUCACCAGUGCUAGGAGUUGUCAUAGUUACACUGAUCAGGU
ensembl:snoRNA